rnacentral:lncRNA from 1 species
GAGAGAGAUUCAAAUGAGAAUGGAGAAUUAUUCUCAACCCUUCAAUUGUGAAGAUCUACGAUGGAUGCAUUGAUGAAUGAAUGCAAUACCUGGGUUUGAAUCCUGGAGGGAGCGAUUUUUUUUUUAUUUUUUAUUUUUUUAAGUGCAGUUAAUUUUACGACGAAUGUAAUAAAAUUUUAACAAAAUAUCACUUUACGUUAUAAUUUAUCAUAGUUAAUUUAUGAAAACAACUUUAUACUUGGAUAGGUUCUGUUAUCUGAAAUCAUUAGUCGUGAUAGAGCAAGGCGAUGAAUCAAAAUGGUGAAGUUAAUAUAAUUCAGUCAUUCA